GGGCCUUUAGCUCAAUGGUUAGAGCAAAGGACUCAUAAUCCUUGGGUUGCCGGUUCAAGUCCGGCAGGGCCCA
rnacentral:tRNA from 1 species